UGAGGAAUAUUGGUCAAUGGACGGAAGUCUGACCCAGCCAAGUAGCGUGCAGGAAGACGGCCCUAUGGGUUGUAAACUGCUUUUGUAUGGGGAUAAAGUCAAUCACGUGUGAUUGUUUGCAGGUACCAUACGAAUAAGGACCGGCUAAUUCCGUGCCAGCAGCCGCGGUAAUACGGAAGGUUCGGGCGUUAUCCGGAUUUAUUGGGUUUAAAGGGAGCGUAGGCCGGAGAUUAAGUGUGUUGUGAAAUGUAGACGCUCAACGUCUGACUUGCAGCGCAUACUGGUUUCCUUGAGUACGCACAACGUUGGCGGAAUUCGUCGUGUAGCGGUGAAAUGCUUAGAUAUGACGAAGAACUCCGAUUGCGAAGGCAGCUGACGGGAGCGCAACUGACGCUGAAGCUCGAAGGUGCGGGUAUCGAACAGGAUUAGAUACCCUGGUAGUCCGCACAGUAAACGAUGGAUGCCCGCUGUUGGUACCUAGUAUCAGCGGCUAAGCGAAAGCAUUAAGCAUCCCACCUGGGGAGUACGCCGGCCGGU
rnacentral:rRNA from 1 species